rnacentral:rRNA from 1 species
ACACGACUACAUUAGAUACCCCCGUAGUCCCAGCCCUAAACGAUGCGCGUUAGGUGUAUCGGUGACCACGAGUCACCGAGGUGCCGUAGGGAAGCCGUGAAGCGAGCCACCUGGGAAGUACGGCCGCAAGGCUGAAACUUAAAGGAAUUGGCGGGGGAGCACCACAACGGGUGGAGCUUGCGGUUUAAUUGGAUUCAACGCCGGAAAUCUUACCGGGACCGACAGCAACAUGAAGGCCAGGCUGAAGACUUUGCCGGAUUAGCUG